CCAAAUGGCGGCAGCCUACACAUGCAGUCGAGCGAGCUCUUCGGAGCUAGCGGCGGACGGGUUAGUAACGCGUGGGAACGUGCCCUUCACUGCGGAAUAGCCACUGGAAACGGUGAGUAAUACCGCAUACGCCCUUCGGGGGAAAGAUUUAUCGGUGAAGGAUCGGCCCGCGUUAGAUUAGAUAGUUGGUGGGGUAACGGCCUACCAAGUCUACGAUCUAUAGCUGGUUUUAGAGGAUGAUCAGCAACACUGGGACUGAGACACGGCCCAGACUCCUACGGGAGGCAGCAGUGGGGAAUCUUGGACAAUGGGCGCAAGCCUGAUCCAGCCAUGCCGCGUGAGUGAUGAAGGCCUUAGGGUCGUAAAGCUCUUUCGCCAGAGAUGAUAAUGACAGUAUCUGGUAAAGAAACCCCGGCUAACUCCGUGCCAGCAGCCGCGGUAAUACGGAGGGGGUUAGCGUUGUUCGGAAUUACUGGGCGUAAAGCGCACGUAGGCGGAUCAGAAAGUUGGGGGUGAAAUCCCGGGGCUCAACCCCGGAACUGCCUCCAAAACUCCUGGUCUUGAGUUCGAGAGAGGUGAGUGGAAUUCCGAGUGUAGAGGUGAAAUUCGUAGAUAUUCGGAGGAACACCAGUGGCGAAGGCGGCUCACUGGCUCGAUACUGACGCUGAGGUGCGAAAGUGUGGGGAGCAAACAGGAUUAGAUACCCUGGU
rnacentral:rRNA from 1 species